AACUAACUCCAGAUUUCAGGUUCUCCAAAGUGGAAAUUUUUUUCUCUUACCAAGAAAACAGAGGAAGCAGAGCAACAAAGGAAAAGAAAAACAGAGCAAGAGUGAAGAAAGAGAUGGGAGGGGUGNNNNNNNNNNCAUGGCAGCGAAAUUUGCCUUCUUUCCACCAAACCCACCAUCAUACAAGCUAAUAACCGACGACCUCACUGGUCUCUUGCUUUUGAGCCCCUUCCCUCAC
rnacentral:misc_RNA from 1 species